rnacentral:misc_RNA from 1 species
UCAAACUUGGUCAUUUAGAGGAAGUAAAAGUCGUAACAAGGUUUCCGUAGGUGAACCUGCGGAAGGAUCAUUAUUGAAUUAGGCUUUGUAAGGUUGUUGCUGGCUUGCUUAAGCAUUGUGCACACCUGACAUUGGUCAAUAUUUUUAUUAUCACUUGUGCACCAUUUGUAGAACAGACAAAUAAUAGCUUGUGGGGGGUUUGCUGUUGUGAAAAAACCCAGCUUACCCUGUUAUAUUAUAAUCUGUUUUAUGUUCAUUUAUACAAACUCUUUUGGAAUGUUAAUGAGGUACAAUUCCUCUUUAAAACUUUUGUACAACUUUCAACAACGGAUCUCUUGGCUCUCGCAUCGAUGAAGAACGCAGC